ncrna:Capnocytophaga sp. oral taxon 336 str. F0502 S15-Flavobacteria ribosomal protein leader
UAUCUUUGCGCCCGAAAAAAAUUACAUAAUAAUCAUUAAAUUAAUAUUGGAAUG